rnacentral:rRNA from 1 species
AACGAACGCUGGCGGCAUGCCUAACACAUGCAAGUCGAACGAAGUCCUUCGGGGCUUAGUGGCGCACAGGUGCGUAACGCGUGGGAAUCUGCCCUUGGGUUCGGAAUAACAGUUAGAAAUGACUGCUAAUACCGGAUGAUGACGAAAGUCCAAAGAUUUAUCGCCCAGGGAUGAGCCCGCGUAGGAUUAGGUAGUUGGUGGGGUAAAGGCCUACCAAGCCGACGAUCCUUAGCUGGUCUGAGAGGAUGAUCAGCCACACUGGGACUGAGACACGGCCCAGACUCCUACGGGAGGCAGCAGUGGGGAAUAUUGGACAAUGGGGGAAACCCUGAUCCAGCAAUGCCGCGUGAGUGAUGAAGGCCUUAGGGUUGUAAAGCUCUUUUACCAGGGAUGAUAAUGACAGUACCUGGAGAAUAAGCUCCGGCUAACUCC